rnacentral:rRNA from 1 species
GAUUUCUGCUUGACUAUUUUAGCCCGCUUGCCUUAACCGGUGAGUGAGCGCUGAGAGACGUUGGGCAUCCAUGUAAGCUGUGUGUGCCUACUCUUCACUGAGCGGGUGCGCGCGGUUUACAUCUUUUACUUUGAAAAAAUUAGAGUGCUUAAAGCAGGCUUAUGCUUCUGAAUACAUUAGCAUGGAAUAAUAAUAUAGGACUUUGGUUCUAUUUUGUUGGUUUCUAGGACUAAAGUAAUGAUUGAUAGGGAUAGUUGGGGGUGCUAGUAUUCCGUGGCCAGAGGUGAAAUUCUUGGAUUCACGGAAGACUAACUAUUGCGAAAGCAUU